GCCCCCAUAGCUUAAUGGCAAAGCCGCUGGCUCUUAACCAGUUAAUGCGGGUCCGAUUCCUGCUGGGGGCACAA
rnacentral:tRNA from 1 species